UUAACAUCAGCCUCAAGAUGAAGAAUGCUCUCUGCUUACUGCUGCUCUUGUUAAGUCUACAGCGUAUAAAAUGUGAAAGUAUGGAGUCAAUUGAAAGCUCAGUGCAGAAAAAGCCUGGAGAAACUCUGACUCUGUCCUGUAGAGGAUCCGGGUUCAGCUUUAGCUCCUAUUACAUGCACUGGAUUAGACAACAAGCUGGAAAACCUCUUGUGUGGAUUGGAGGCACUGGCUAUGGCUAUGCUGAGUCCUUCAAAGGAAGAGCUGAAAUCACCAAAGAUAAUUCAAAGAGUAUGACAUAUCUGAAACUAUCAGGCCUCACAGCAGAAGAUUCAGCCGUGUAUUACUGUGCAAGACAAUCACAGUGACACAAAGAUCUUGUAGAGCAGAACAAAAACCACUGUGAGUGUU